rnacentral:lncRNA from 1 species
AGGACUUGCUGUGCCAACGAAAAGGAAGCGAGGCAUUUUGGCUAGUCACCGCGUUUUUGCUGCGUCACAGGGAGACAGAAGAUGGGCUGCUAUUUCGUCGGCUAAAUGCUAUCAUUUUAAGCACCGUUCCAAAGAAAACAGGGAUCUUGCCAGAGGAAAAUAACAUAUACCAUAAAGGAAAAAGAAAUGUGCAUCAAGGCAAAUAAACAGCUCUCUACUAAGGGCCUAGGAUCUUGCUAGACGAGUCAUUUCUCUGGUUGAAAAGCAGUUGAGAAAGGCAAGACAAGGGGGGCGGGGGCCCAGCAGGGCACCUCUGAGCCCUUCCUGCUGCUCUUCAAAGACAGACGCAUUUUCCUUUCUACGGUCUCCUUGCAAGUCUUCUGUAGGCCCUGCCACCUUCAGGCUGACUGACUGCCUCCUUCAAAUAUCAGCAUUUGGAAGGGUACUGGGGAGUCGACACCCUCAUGUCUGUGAGCUGACUGCAGGACGUCUCCUGUCCAGGUGCUGGCACCUCAUCUAACAUUUGAAGGCUCAGAAGAAAAGCCACGUCUGCCUACACAAUCUCACAAUCCGGCUUCAGCAAAGCAUGAGUUAAUUCAACUUCAUACUCGUGAACGUGAAGCGGGGGUUGGAAGGAAUGAAGGCUGCAGGACACCCAUGUACCAAGAAAAAGAAAGACAAAUUGGUUGUUUUAUCUACUUUACAUCAUGAUGGAGUCCUAAAAAGGGCCCCAUGAAGGCAGGCAGCCCAGGGAGGAAUGACUGGACGGUGACAUUGUGCAGGGGGUCUGGAAGUUGCCAGCGCAGGGGUUAGCAGCUGCAGCCUGGCCUGGUCCUGUCUGCCUGGCUGUCAAACCCAGAAGACCGUGGUUUCUGGUGGCCUCUGUGUGACAGCGGAGGAGGUGGGGCGAGGCCUGGAAGUGAAGCAUCUCGUGAGCCACUUAAGUGUUUAUGAAGCUCGCUAAUGUGCUUAAAUGAACGAGAAGCAGGUACUUGCUCCCAGGACCAGAGCCACCAAAGCAAUUUCCUCUGCAGCCCCUCAUACUUCGCACACUGGAAGCUUGCAUUCUUUCCCAGAGGACAGCCGGAUUACAGCACCGCCUCUAAUGCAACCCGAUCUGGUUUCUUUGAGCGCCGCGGUGAACGUGCAAUCUAUCUCAUAAAUGCAUCGCAGUGUUCCACAAAUCACCCACGUUCAUCCCUUGAGACGUCUUUAACUCGGGGCUUAGAGUUGCAAAUGAAUUCUCCUAUGGAUCUAUUAUUCCAUCAAAUAGCGGAGAGAGGGGACUAGCUUGUGCAGAGCCUUCAUAGAGCUGGGCUAAAUUCGAUUAUGCAAAGUCUAACGAGCACCAUUCAGCAAAACCAUGGUGGGUGUGAGCUGCAGGCCAGCCCCUCCACUGGGCCAUUAUCCAGGGGUAAACACCACUCGUGGGUUAGUUCCACGAGUUACUGGCUGAUUUGACCUGUGAUACUCCAAGGUGGAAGUAACCAAAUAAUAUGUAUCAUGAGCCCCAAGAACGAAGCCAGUGGAGAGUGGUACAUGCUAGAGGGUAACGCCUGGCCCUUUGCAGGACAGCACGUCAGCCAUGCGCCAUGGGACGAUGGUGGUGGCUGGGACACAGGAGGCCACGGCAGGAAAUGGGCAGGUGGGUGGGUCUAUGUAAGCUGGCUUUAGACUUCAAUCCACAAGCAUUUGCAGCUCAACUACUCAGCGUCUUAUCUUAUUUAAUCCUUUCAGCAAUAAACACUCUUUUCACAUGUAGUAAGGUUAAGGAGUCUACAUCACACCCUUUAUCAUUAUUAAUAAAGGGACACACCCUCCAGGGAUCCUAGGGAACCUCCUACCCACCCUGUGGUCACUCUAGGGAAAGGAAAGCUCUCAGGGACCGACGGGAGCCUGGGCACAUGCGCCACCACUCUCUCCUUUAUCCCCUCUAGCCCGGCUUGCUGGCUCUCACUUUCUUUUGUGCACUAGAACUCACGUACAAGUUGCACACCCAAACCCUUGCAUGCUGCAUUUCAGAGUCAACUUCAGUGAUUUUUGAGAGUGAUUUUGACAAUCCCAGUCAAAAUUCUAGCAGGUUUUUUUUUUUUACAUGACAAGUGGAUUCUAAAAUUCAUAGGAAAAUGCAAAUGACCUAGAAGAGCCAAAGCAAUUUUGGAAGGAGUAAAGUCGAAUGGCUGACGCUACCAGAUUUCAAGAUUCACUUGAAACGCACAGGAAUCAAGACAGGGUGGUGUCGACAGAAGGAAGGCGUCAGAGCAGGGUGACAGGAGGCAGGGCCACACACAGACGGCUGAUUGAUACCCGACAAAACCGCCGAGGUAAUUUCACAGGGAAAGGAACUCUUUUGAACAAAUGGUGCACCAACAAUUGGAUAACCAUACGGAAAAAAUUUAAAAAACAGAAGAACAUUGACCCUUCACGCACAUCAAACAUAAAUUAACUCAGAAUCCAUCAUAGGCUGGGUGUUGUGGCUCAUGCCUUUAAUCCUAGCACUUUGGGAGGCCAAGGCAGGCGGAUCACCUGAGGUCAGGAGUUUGAGACCAGCCUGGCCAACAUGGUAAAACCCCAUCUCUACUGAAAAUACAAAAAUUAGCCAGGCGUGGUGGCACGUGCCUGUAAUCCCAGGUACCCGGGAGGCUGAGGCAGGAGAAUUGCUGGAACCCGGGAGGCAGAGGCUGCAGUGAUCCGAGAUCACACCAUUGCACUCUAGCCUGGGCAACAGAGCAA